UGUGUGUGUGUGUGUGUGUGUGUGUGUGUGUGUGUGUGUUAACUUAUGUUUAUUUCUGUUUUCUCAGCCCUUAUGCUUCUGGCAAAUAUGUCCUCAACAAAGGUUUAUCUUCGCUAUGUAGUACUCAAUUUCAUUGAGCAAAAUGAGGUUGAGGUGGCACCAUCUUCAUGGCUCGAAAAGAUCGAUGGGGUAGGAUUUAGUUCAUAUAUGUUUUUAUAAAACAUAAAUGAUAUACAUUAAUCAUUUAUGAUUUAUUAAUCAACUAUGUAGAAAACAUUAAGCAAGCAUCCUUGUCUCUGUCUGAAAGGUACUGUUCUGCUAUUGGCCCAAUUCAAAUGUUGGGACCAAAGUCAUAAAAUGUGCCAUUCCAGACAAACAUCUCUGGACAAAAUAUGCCGUCAGAGUAUUUUCUGACACAGACAGUUACAACCUAGCAAGGUAUCGGGUCCAAAAAGCUGUUGAAACUUCCCAUGUUGAGGACUCGGAUGGAAAUAGUUCACGAAAAAUUAUACCACCAAGAAGAUUUAGAGAAGAAGAACUUCGGGCGCCCAUACCUAGAAAGACACCACAGACAAAACACUGUAAAUAUACAUGCAAAACAAAUGAAUCUGGAAUAAUCAAAGAAAGCCAAAAUGCAUAUAUAUGUCUUUGUUGUGUGUAUCUAUAUCUCCUUUAAAUGCUAAUUUUUUUUUACAGUUCUUGAGGAAAGUGAAUCAUCCCAAGGUGAAAUCAUUAUUAUGUUACUGUAUUCUUUAUUUAAUGAAAGGUUAAAUAGAGGGAAUAAAUUAUUCAGAACAGUACCAUCUAGCAUAUUUUUCUAACUGACAUAAAAUACUGUUUAUUGCCCUGUUGUGUUUGGCCCUGAAGAUGAGAUUUUCAGUUUGAAAGCAAAGAAAAUUAACAAACGGCCAAGAUCAACAGCAAUUGCAUCUACGU
ensembl:lncRNA